UAAACAAUUCACACGUGCGCCUAAAUGUGUAUGUGUACGGAUCGUUUUGAACUUUCAACACUGUCAAUUAUCGUAAAUGGAAGGUUUUCGCGCUGCAAAUAAUUUCGAAUUAAUAUUACACAUUAUCAGGUGGAACUUUUUUAAACUUACCGGCAAUCAAUAGGUUUGGAUAAAAAUAUCGGGGACAAAUUCAUUGUCUGUAUCCAAUAUACGUUGUGGGUGGUAUCUCUAACAUAUUUGUGUUCAACAGCUGCCCGUGUAUUGGAAUAAGGGCGGGAACUCUACAUGGACUCCGAUACACCAUGGCCAAUCGCUGAAGGUCACAUAUACCAGACUGAAGUAUGGACCGUCAUCUCUUCCAUUGCUGUGAAUACCAAGAUAUGUGGUAUAAUUUUUAAAGGUCAAAUAUGACGUUAGACAGUUUUGCUUAAAGAAAUAAUUGUGAUGUGCGAUUGUUGUUGACUUCCUUUGGUCAAUUUGCAGUUCGUGUCAGAUGGGACACUAACACGAUCCGGUUCCACUGCUGAAGAAGUAUGGCGCAACUUUUACGGAUGCCAUGAAGAUUUCUCAAUUUAGACGUUCCGUGGAGGCUGUACAUCGUUGCUUAUUAAAGAAAUUGGAGCGACUCAAUAAUAUUUAAUAGGUUUAUGUGUAAAAAACGUAAAAUACAAACA